rnacentral:rRNA from 1 species
AGAUUGAACGCUGGCGGCAUGCCUUACACAUGCAAGUCGAACGGCAGCACGGGAGCAAUCCUGGUGGCGAGUGGCGAACGGGUGAGUAAUACAUCGGAACGUGCCCAGUAGUGGGGGAUAACCCGGCGAAAGCCGGACUAAUACUGCAUACGACCUACGGGUGAAAGCAGGGGAUCGCAAGACCUUGCGUUAUUGGAGCGGCCGAUGUCAGAUUAGCUUGUUGGCGGGUAAAAGCCCACCAAGGCGACGAUCUGUAGCUGGUCUGAGAGGACGACCAGCCACACUGGGACUGAGACACGGCCCAGACUCCUACGGGAGGCAGCAGUGGGGAAUUUUCGGCAAUGGGGGCAACCCUGACCGAGCAACGCCGCGUGCAGGAGGAAGGUCUUCGGAUCGUAAACUGCUUUUCUGUGGGAAGAGAACGGACGGUACCACAGGAAGAAGCCCGGCUAACUACGUGCCAGCAGCCGC